AUUGAACGCUGGCGGCAGGCCUAACACAUGCAAGUCGAACGCGUGGCGGACGUGUGAGUAAUGCUUGGGACUCUACCUUAUGGGGGGGGCUAACUACGGGAACAUGUAGCUAAUACCCCUUACCAUAGGAUGAGCCCAGGUGGGAUUAGGUAGUUGGUGAGGUAACGGCUUACCAAGCCGACGAUCUCUAGCUGGUCUGCGAGGAUGACCAGCCACACUGAGACUGAGACACGGCCCAGACUCCUACGGGAGGCAGCAGUGGGGAAUAUUGCGCAAUGGGGGCAAGCCUGACGCAGCCAUGCCGCGUGUAUGAAGAAGGCCUUAGGGUUGUAAAGUACUUUCAGUCGGGAGGCGUUACCGACAGAAGAAGCAACGGCUAACUCCGUGCCAGCAGCCGCGGUAAUAC
rnacentral:rRNA from 1 species